rnacentral:rRNA from 1 species
GACAAACCCGGAGGAAGGUGGGGAUGACGUCAAGUCCUCAUGGCCCUUAUAGGUGGGGCUACACACGUCAUACAAUGGCCGGUACAAAGGGCAGCAAACCCGCGAGGGGGAGCCAAUCCAUCAAAGCCGGUCGUAGUCCGGAUCGCAGUCUGCAACUCGACUGCGUGAAGUCGGAAUCGCUAGUAAUCGUGGAUCAGCAUGUCACGGUGAAUACGUUCCCGGGUCUU